GUUGCCCAGGCUGGAGUGCAGUGGAGUGAUGUUGACUCACCGCAACCUCUUUCUCCUGGGUUCAAGUGAUUCUCCUGCCUCAGCCUCCUGAGUAGCUGGGAUUACAGUUGAUUGAAGAUGAGCAAACAUUGAAAAAAAGUUAAUUGUGCUAUCUGGUUAGCUGAACUCAAACUCACGACGACAGAAAGAAGAAAACUCACUUCCUGUCGUAAGAAGGAGGCUCCCCACAGACAUUGAAUUAACAACUGGAUGAAAACUUCAAGGAAACUGGGUUCAUAGUUCACAACAAGCCUAGAUCUGGGAGAUGCCAGCAAGCAGAAAAACUGUGGCUGAAAUUGAGGCAAUGUUAGCAGAGUCCCACAAGCAUGCACUGCACAUUUGCUGAAUUGAAUAUUCCAAAACCACAGGUUACAGAAUUCUAACAGUGAAAUUCCGAAGCAUACCUAAAUGUAUAAAUGCUACAAGUGAACCAGACUGAACUUGGCUUCUGUCAUCUAAUGGAAUGAGAAAAUGAAAUUUCCAAAAAUAUUCUUGACAAGUUGACCCUUACAAUGAAGCACCUUUCCACCUAAGUGACAAUGUUGUCUGUCAAAAUUACUUUGUUUUAUGUACAGAGAAGCCACCAAAGUUUAGCAACAUGAGAAUCCCCAAAAGUUAAUGUUUGGUGGGCCAUUAAGGAGUCUUGCAUUACCAGCCCUCCAUUUUUAUUGAGAUAUAAUUCAUAUACCCUAAAAUUCACCCUUUUAAAGUAUACAAUUUAAUGGUUUUUAGUAUACUCAAAAGUUUGCCACCAUCGCCACUGUCUUAGCCCAUUUUCUGUUGCUAUCACAGAAUACCUGAGAAUGGGUAAUUUAUAAAGUGAAGAAAUUUAUUUCUUACAGUUUUGGAGGCUGACAAGCACAAUUUCAAGGGGAUGAAGUCCUUGCUGUGUGGCAGAAGGCAUCAUAUGGUGAGAGAUAGGGAGUGUGUUAGAGGGCUCUUUUUCUUUCUCUUUUUUAAGGCCACAGUCCUUUUGCACUAGGGAUCUACCCUUAUGACCUCAAUUUAACCUUAAUUGCCUCUCAAGAAUCUAUCUUAAGGGAUACAUUGAAACCAUAGCAACCACUAUCUAAUUGAGAACAUUUUUAUCAACCCAAAAAGCAAUCCUAUAUGCAUUAGUAGUCAUUCCCCAUUUCUCCCUACCUCCAACCCCAGCAAGUAAUCUACUCUGUGUCUCUAUGGAUUUGCCCCAUCUACACAUUACAUAUAUAUGAAAUUAUACAAUAUGUGGCUUUAUGUGUCUAUUGGCUUUUUCUUUUUGAAGAACCUAUAAUCAAUGAUAAAUUUUACUUGGCAGUGCUUCAGUAUUUUUUCAUUUCCAUACUACAGUUGUUAUUCCAUUAAAUGAUGCUAUUUUUCAACAA